AUGGGUGCUUAUGAGAUUGAAUCUAUGUUUAAAGAGUCUGAAGAUUUUGAUGAUUCACUUUACAGACCUAAAUUUUUUGCUAUACUUAGAUAUUGCUAUGAAAAUUAUGAAUACAAUUCCAAUAUUGAUGCAUUUAUUGAGAAAGUCUCCGCUGUCCAAGAAGAGACUAAUAUUUUGCAGGAAGCUAUGGAAAAAAAAAUUGAUGAAACUGUGAGCUCAUUGGAUGAAAAAGAUUAUGAAGAGAGCGAAGAACAAAAGGAGGAAGAGCGGAUUAGCUACCCGUGCCCACCUUUUAAUGAGAGUAACUCUCACUACAACAAAACAGAUGUUAAGUAA
rnacentral:rRNA from 1 species